UACGUAGGGGGCAAGCGUUGUCCGGAUUUACUGGGCGUAAAGAGCGUGUAGGCGGCCAAACAGGUCCGUUGUGAAAACUGGAGGCUCAACCUCCAGACGUCGACGGAAACCGUGUGGCUAGAGUCCGGGAGAGGAGAGUGGAAUUCCUGGUGUAGCGGUGAAAUGCGCAGAUAUCAGGAAGAACACCCGUGGCGAAAGCGGCUCUCUGGAACGGUACUGACGCUGAGACGCGAAAGCGUGGGGAGCGAACAGG
rnacentral:rRNA from 1 species